rnacentral:rRNA from 1 species
AGUCGACGAUGAAUCUUCUAGCUUGCUAGAAGUGGAUUAGUGGCGCACGGGUGAGUAAUGCAUAGGUUAUGUGCCCUUUAGUCUGGGAUAGCCACUGGAAACGGUGAUUAAUACUGGAUACUCCCUACGGGGGAAAGUUUUUCGCUAAAGGAUCAGCCUAUGUCCUAUCAGCUUGUUGGUGAGGUAAUGGCUCACCAAGGCUAUGACGGGUAUCCGGCCUGAGAGGGUGAUCGGACACACUGGAACUGAGACACGGUCCAGACUCCUACGGGAGGCAGCAGUAGGGAAUAUUGCUCAAUGGGGGAAACCCUGAAGCAGCAACGCCGCGUGGAGGAUGAAGGUUUUAGGAUUGUAAACUCCUUUUGUUAGAGAAGAUUAUGACGGUAUCUAACGAAUAAGCACCGGCUAACUCCGUGCCAGCAGCCGCGGUAAUACGGAGGGUGCAAGCGUUACUCGGAAUCACUGGGCGUAAAGAGUGCGUAGGCGGGGUAAUAAGUCAGAUGUGAAAUCCUGUAGCUUAACUACAGAACUGCAUUUGAAACUGUUACUCUGGAGUGUGGGAGAGGUAGGUGGAAUUCUUGGUGUAGGGGUAAAAUCCGUAGAGAUCAAGAGGAAUACUCAUUGCGAAGGCGACCUGCUGGAACAUUACUGACGCUGAUGCACGAAAGCGUGGGGAGCAAACAGGAUUAGAUACCCUGGUAGUCCACGCCCUAAACGAUGGAUGCUAGUUGUUGCCUUGCUUGUCAGGGCAGUAAUGCAGCUAACGCAUUAAGCAUCCCGCCUGGGGAGUACGGUCGCAAGAUUAAAACUCAAAGGAAUAGACGGGGACCCGCACAAGCGGUGGAGCAUGUGGUUUAAU